GUUGAACGCUGGCGGCGUGCCUAAUACAUGCAAGUCGAGCGAACAGACGAGGAGCUUGCUCCUCUGACGUUAGCGGCGGACGGGUGAGUAACACGUGGAUAACCUACCUAUAAGACUGGGAUAACUUCGGGACACCGGAGCUAAUACCGGAUAAUAUAUUGAACCGCAUGGUUCAAUAGUGAAAGACGGUUUUGCUGUCACUUAUAGAUGGAUCCGCGCCGCAUUAGCUAGUUGGUAAGGUAACGGCUUACCAAGGCAACGAUGCGUAGCCGACCUGAGAGGGUGAUCGGCCACACUGGAACUGAGACACGGUCCAGACUCCUACGGGAGGCAGCAGUAGGGAAUCUUCCGCAAUGGGCGAAAGCCUGACGGAGCAACGCCGCGUGAGUGAUGAAGGUCUUCGGAUCGUAAAACUCUGUUAUGAGGGAAGAACAAAUGUGUAAGUAACUAUGCACGUCUUGACGGUACCUAAUCAGAAAGCCACGGCUAACUACGUG
rnacentral:rRNA from 1 species